CCUACGGGUGGCAGCAGUGGGGAAUAUUGCACAAUGGGCGCAAGCCUGAUGCAGCCAUGCCGCGUGUGUGAAGAAGACCUUCGGGUUGUAAAGCACUUUCAGCGGGGAGGAAGGCGGUGAGGUUAAUAACCUCAUCGAUUGACGUUACCCGCAGAAGAAGCACCGGCUAACUCCGUGCCAGCAGCCGCGGUAAUACGGAGGGUGCAAGCGUUAAUCGGAAUUACUGGGCGUAAAGCGCACGCAGGCGGUCUGUCAAGUCGGAUGUGAAAUCCCCGGGCUCAACCUGGGAACUGCAUUCGAAACUGGCAGGCUAGAGUCUUGUAGAGGGGGGUAGAAUUCCAGGUGUAGCGGUGAAAUGCGUAGAGAUCUGGAGGAAUACCGGUGGCGAAGGCGGCCCCCUGGACAAAGACUGACGCUCAGGUGCGAAAGCGUGGGGAGCAAACAGGAUUAGAUACCCGGGUAGUC
rnacentral:rRNA from 1 species